AGGGCCAAUUGGCAGAGGAGAACAGUGUCAUCUAGCAGAAGUCUUUCUGUGCCCCUCUGGAACUGCAGUUAUGCUCCCAAGAAGUGCCAGUAGGCCUCGCCGGUCAAAACAUGAUGGAUUUGGAAAAGUCUGCCAACGUCACCUUUGAACCAAAAGUGUUUGAAGUGCCUCCGGAGCCAAGCCUAAGAUAUUCUGAAUAUAGAGUAUUCUACGAUGCGUACAGCAUUUGCUUGAGGAUUAUCUGCUAAAGAACCAAGCACAGAACAGCAUGAACCACAGGGGAUUGUUGCCAUCAGGCCAGCUGUGAGGGUUCAAGAAAUUACCCUCCACCUCAUUUAAGGUCAGGGCCAACCUGCUGCCCUCAGGACGUACAUAUCUUGUGGAGAAAAUGAGAUGAAGGUAAUUGAUCCAUAAUUCUCAUGGAUCUUCAUGGACUUGGUGAUGUUGGUGGGUCCCUUUCAGCUGAAACUCUUCUGCCCUUGAAGCCAUGGGAGAACCAUGGGUAGUGUGACCAAAAGUUACGUGAAAAUCUGGCUAGAGAUUCAGAUGCUCUUUUGAAUAUGCAGGCAUUUCCUACACCAGGACUGUCUUUUUGUUAUCCUGCCUCUCAUUGUUCCGCGAACACAUCAUAAAUACAAGGAAUCCAAUGAGCUUAUGAGCAUCUGGGGUGUGUGUGAGAAGUUUCAUAUACCUUGUACAAAGGAAAAGGAAACCAGCAGUGUUUUGCCCUUCGGUGGCAAUGAAAGAAACCUAAUUUUGUCUCAUGUGCAGGGAAGAGACUCCAGUUGUAUGGUGGUACACCGUGUGCCUAUGUGCACUGAUAGCUCACUGUCUGGUAAAGAAAACCCAGAUGUAGCUUGUGGUUUGUGGUUUGUUGCCCCUGAGAUGCACUCACCUGCUGUCCCAGGACACUGGACGUUGGUGCCAUGAUGCCAGAGGGGACCCAGGUAAGCAGGAGGAUGCGAUCCAUUCUCAAGUGAAGUCACCCACAUUGCAGAGGCAGCCUUUGCCAUCAGCCCAGAGCGUGCUUCCCACUGCCCGCACACCAGUGGCUACACCUGCAGUUGCUCAGCUUAUCUGGGAAGAAACCAGAAAAGGUACAGGCUCCUUCCCAACAGGGUGAGGGUAUUGGGAGGAGUUAUUUAGAGGUGUGUUUGAUGGAAAGAUGUUUGUUUUCUUCCUUGGCAUGUCAUGGAUUUUUAAUUACUAUCGGGUGUAGCACACCUGAAUUUCUGAAGUCAUCAUAAAAAAUCAUAACAAGUCUUUUACACUCAGGAAAAACGAUUGCACAUUUCAUUCUGGAUUAGGUCUCCCAUUCUCAUCCCAAGGAAAAGCAGUUUGUUAUGUUCCCCCCCCCCCCCCCCCCAGCUUCUCGUUUCACAGCUGUGAGAAGCUCAUGUCCUCCCGUCGUGCACUCAGUGCGGGGCUCUUGGUGGGAAGUGCAACGUGGACCUUCCCGUAGGUCACAGCAUCUGCACAGCGAUGCUCGGUGCACUCGUGCAAGGUCAGUACACAAGUGCUGCCUUUGGGAACGUGUAUAAUGCUACAUUCAUGGGAAAACUGAGUGUUCCUGCAGAAAUCUACCAUGCUGACUCACGUCCCAGAGAUUUUGUAACUUGUUGCUGUGAUAAGCCUGUGAUCAGGCUCCUUUCUAAUUAAGCAAUCGUGUUCUCACAGGGUGCUUUUAGCUUCAAUAUGUUACUCGUUGCAUAGAUGUCUUCUAACCCUCCGCGCUGACAUCUUUCCCAGGCUGCCAAUGCAAAACAAAGUUCUGGAUCUUCCCCCCAAGCACUUCCUGAAACCUUUUUUUCCAUCAUUACAUAAAACGCUGGGUGAUCUCUCUUUUAAGCUUGCCAUCUGGAUGCCGCUCUUGAUUUUGUCUGUCUUCAAGCAUGUGUGCCGAGGCUGGAUCUGAAACGGCGCAGCCUCUUGCCACGUAGCAGCUCUAAAAGUUGCGCUUCUCAAUCGCUGCUCCAAAACUUUGGCCGCUUUUUCACCAUCUCACAGCUUCAUGUUUUGAGUUGGCCCUCUCCAGCACAGAGAGGGCGUUGAGGCACAGCUGCCCAGGGAAGCUGUGGGUGCCCCAUCCUUGGACUUACGCAGUGCCAGGCUGGAUGGGGCCCUGGGCAGCCCGAGCUGCUGGGGGGCAGCCCUGCCUAUGGCCAGGGGUGGAACUGGGUGGGUUUAAAGCCCUUUCCAACCCAAGCCACGCUACGCUUCUACGGUUUCCCAAACCCGGGCCUUGCUGCAAGAGCCGCUGGGUCUCCCAGGUGCUGUUUGGAUACAGCUAUCGGUCACACCAACUGUUCACCUGCUGCUGCCCAUCUCUUCUGCCAUCUACCGCUUUAUUUGUCAAACUGGGUAAUGACCAACACGAAGAAUUUAACAGUAACAGGUUUGCACAGUGGAGUCUUUGUUAAAGCGAUGGAUGCCGGCGUUACUUGCGUUAAGCCUUCAAUGUUGUUAAGCCUUCGAUGUAUCUGCCGGCUCGGAAAACCUUCCUCUGAAGUGGAAUUCGCAGACCGGAUGGCCUCAGCGGCUCCAACAGCUCUUUGAAACAAUGUACGUUGAAACCGAAAGCCUUAAAAGAUAAGGGAAGAAUAAAACGUUCGCUUCUCUGUAUCACCACACCGAGGGAACCCAACACCCCG
ensembl:lncRNA